GCCCGGCAGUGAACCCGCAGGAUCUCCUGUUCGCAGGAGACGAUCAGCUUUUCCUGGAGGAGAGGAGCUGGAGUCACCCCGGAGACCACAGUCCUGUGAGGACGCGCGAGGUGCUGCCUGUCCCCAAGAGUAGGAAACGUGUCACGUGUCACAACAGCACCAGAUGGGCUGGAGCCUCUCGUGGGGCCAGGAAGCGAGAGCGUGUUCAGGAAGCACGGGACUGC